AUAGGGGAGCCGGAGGGAAACCGAGUCUUAAUUGGGCGUUAAGUUGCAGGGUAUAGACCCGAAACCCGGUGAUCUAGCCAUGGGCAGGUUGAAGGUUGGGUAACACUAACUGGAGGACCGAACCGACUAAUGUUGAAAAAUUAGCGGAUGACCUGUGGCUGGGGGUGAAAGGCCAAUCAAACCGGGAGAUAGCUGGUUCUCCCCGAAAGCUAUUUAGGUAGCGCCUCGUGAAUUCAUCUCCGGGGGUAGAGCACUGUUUCGGCUAGGGGGCCAUCCCGGCUUACCAACCCGAUGCAAACUGCGAAUACCGGAGAAUGUUAUCACGGGAGACACACGGCGGGUGCUAACGUCCGUCGUGAAGAGGGAAACAACCCAGACCGCCAGCUAAGGUCCCAAAGUCAUGGUUAAGUGGGAAACGAUGUGGGAAGGCCCAGACAGCCAGGAUGUUGGCUUAGAAGCAGCCAUCAUUUAAAGAAAGCGUAAUAGCUCACUGGUCGAGUCGGCCUGCGCGGAAGAUGUAACGGGGCUAAACCAUGCACCGAAGCUGCGGCAGCGAACGUAUCACCCAAGACAACUUUACGGAGUUGACGAUUGACGGAGCGAAGCGACGUCAAAGCGUUCAUUAAAGUCGAGUUGGCUUAGGGAUACGUUCGUUGGGUAGGGGAGCGUUCUGUAAGCCUGUGAAGGUGUGUCGUGAGGCAUGCUGGAGGUAUCAGAAGUGCGAAUGCUGACAUAAGUAACGAUAAAGCGGGUGAAAAGCCCGCUCGCCGGAAGACCAAGGGUUCCUGUCCAACGUUAAUCGGGGCAGGGUGAGUCGACCCCUAAGGCGAGGCCGAAAGGCGUAGUCGAUGGGAAACGGGUUAAUAUUCCCGUACUUGGUGUUACUGCGAAGGGGGGACGGAGAAGGCUAUGUUGGCCGGGCGACGGUUGUCCCGGUUUAAGCGUGUAGGUGUGUGUUCCAGGUAAAUCCGGUUCACUUUAACACUGAGGCGUGACGACGAGGCACUACGGUGCUGAAGCAACAAAUGCCCUGCUUCCA
rnacentral:rRNA from 1 species